rnacentral:rRNA from 1 species
GUGGGGAAUAUUGGACAAUGGGGGAAACCCUGAUCCAGCCAUGCCGCGUGUGUGAAGAAGGCCUUCGGGUUGUAAAGCACUUUAAGCAGGGAGGAAAGGGUAAUGGCUAAUAUCCAUUAUCAUUGACGUUACCUGCAGAAUAAGCACCGGCUAACUUCGUGCCAGCAGCCGCGGUAAUACGAAGGGUGCAAGCGUUAAUCGGAAUUACUGGGCGUAAAGCGCGCGUAGGCGGUUUGAUAAGUUGGAUGUGAAAGCCCCGGGCUCAACCUGGGAAUUGCAGCCAAGACUGGCAGGCUAGAGUACGGGAGAGGGGGGUAGAAUUCCACGUGUAGCGGUGAAAUGCGUAGAGAUGUGGAGGAAUACCGGUGGCGAAGGCGGCCCCCUGGAUCGAUACUGACGCUGAGGUGCGAAAGCGUGGGGAGCAAACAGGAUUAGAAACCCUGGUAGUCC